GUCGUGUACAAACUAAAAUCUAAACAAAAUUAUCUUCAUUAACUUAUGCAUUUCAGUAGUCAUUACAGCUGAAGAAAUACCUGAUACAGCAAAGAUAAACAGAGAACUUUGAGAAUGAGCUUUAAGCAGCACCAAGCUAACAGGUACAGCACAGAUCAGCAGUAAAAUCAAGUCACACAGCUUCCAAAAAUUCAGCAAUUUCAGCUUUUUUAAACCAUCUUUACCUAGAUAAAACAAGAGUUCUUUUAAGCUUUUUGAAUUCCAAUUGACACUCAAGACUAGGAACAAAUCCAGAACCAAUUUCCACCCCAAAAAAAGAUGUAGAAAUUUCAAUGCAUUUUCAAAAUCACUCCCUCAGCCGUUUGUGCUUUUCAGUACUUUUUAAUCCAUCCAAAUUUGGCUUGUGUAUGAAGAAACAGUCCUUUUAUAAGGAGCUUUUAGGGUAGCAUAAAGUGAGUCAGUUUAUUGCCCUUAAAUCCCUUUCCAAUUCUCAUGUUUGCUAUUGUGCCCUUAAUUUAAAAUCAGUUUUUUAGAGUUGCCCUUAACCCUCCUUCUAGGAAGCUUUCUAAAUCAGUUAUAAUAGAUUCCUUAUGCUAAAUUACCCAAAAUACUCUUUAAACCCCUGCUUUUUACUUCAAAAAUCAAAUGGGUCAAAUUGACCUUUAAGUAAAUAGGAUGUUCUUUGAACAUGAGUCGGAAUUGAACCCAGGGCCCAAACAACAACUGAUCCAACUAGAUUCUGAUUUUACAAAGAGCAGAAGGAAACAAACACUUAUUUGAAAACUAAAAUUUAACUACGCGACUGAUUAAUUACAUAAUCAAGCACAGAGUGAAUUAGGUUAUUAAAUCGAAAUGACCUAAUUAAAUUAAACUUAUGAGACUAAAACAAAAGGCAAAAUCAGAGGUUCAAGCAUGUCAUUAACAAAAUCAGAGAAUAGACCUUUAAACCUCGAAAAGAAAACUGAACAACAAAAUGAACACAAAAAUUAAUCUAGGGAAAAAACCUAAGUUCAGAAUCUUGCUCGAAUUUCAGUCAAAGCGAGAAAACUAACUAAAGAAAGGAGAAGAAAAGAAGAGGGAUAAGAGGUGAAGUGAGCAAAUACGGACAGAAGAAGAAGAAAAGAAAAAAGAAAAUUUACCCAGUAAAACUCGAAACAACAUUGGACAUCUUGAUUUAAACGAAAUUGAUGCUAACCACUUGUUCUUUGUCAAGAACAAAUGAGCAGUAUCAAUUCACGUUGAAUCAACUUCAAAUUUGAAAGAACGGAGGCUUAUGGUCAUGCAUGCCAUGGAAUCAAACGGAGUCGAUUUUGGGCUUUAGGGCUCCAAACUUAGAUUUAAGAUUUGGACGGAUUGGGUAGUCUUUGGGUAAAACUAAUGGUGGACUCGGAAUGGGGAAACAACGGGGGUUAUAUGGUCAAGAUUUGGUGGAGUUUGGAGAUCCACCGCCACCAGUGGAGAAUUCCGGUGGGUGGUGGGCGGCGGUGAAGAUAAAGAGGCGAGAGAGAGAAGAUGAAGC
rnacentral:lncRNA from 1 species